rnacentral:rRNA from 1 species
GUGAGGAAUUUUCCGCAAUGGGCGAAAGCCUGACGGAGCAAUGCCGCGUGAAGGAUGAAGGCCUAUGGGUUGUAAACUUCUUUUCUCAGAAAAGAAUUAUGACGGUAUCUGAGGAAUAAGCAUCGGCUAACUCUGUGCCAGCAGCCGCGGUAAGACAGAGGAUGCAAGCGUUAUCCGGAAUGAUUGGGCGUAAAGCGUCUGUAGGUUGUUUAAAAAGUAUUCUGUCAAAAGAUUAGGGCUUAACCCUAGAUAGGCAGAAUAAACUUUUAAGCUAGAGUUUGGUAGAGGCAGAGGGAAUUCCCGGUGGAGCGGUGAAAUGCGUAGAUAUCGGGAGGAACACCAAAGGCGAAGGCACUCUGCUGGGCCAAUACUAACACUGAGAGACGAAAGCGAGGGGAGCAAAUGGGAUUAGAUACCCGGGUAGUCC